rnacentral:tRNA from 1 species
CGGAAUGUAGCCAAGUGGUAAGGCACCAUACUUUUAAUAUGGGUAUCGAGAGUUCGAUUCUCUUCAUUCCGACCA